rnacentral:pre_miRNA from 1 species
AGGGGAGGCCGGAUCCUGGGCUGUGUCCCCAGAGCCCUGUGCUCCCUGGCCUGCGUUGUUGGAUUCGCAGUCUCGGCUGGGCAGCCCCCU